GACGAACGCUGGCGGCGUGCUUAACACAUGCAAGUCGAACGAUGAAGAAGAGAAACGCGAACUUCGGUUCAAAUUUCACUUCGGAUUAGUGGCAGACGGGUGAGUAACGCGUGGGCAACCUACCUCUUACAAAGGGAUAGCCUCGGGAAACCGUGAUUAAUACCAUAUGACACAUUCAUAAGGCAUCUUAAGAAUGUUAAAGCUACGGCGGUAAGAGAUGGGCUCGCGUCCCAUUAGCUAGUUGGUGAGGUAACGGCCCACCAAGGCGACGAUGGGUAACCGGCCUGAGAGGGUGAACGGUCACAUUGGAACUGAGACACGGUCCAAACUCCUACGGGAGGCAGCAGUGGGGAAUAUUGCACAAUGGAGGGAACUCUGAUGCAGCGACGCCGCGUGAGCGAUGAAGGAAUUCGUUUCGUAAAGCUCUGUUCUAUGGGAAGAAAAGGACUGUACCAUAGGAGAAAGCCCCGGCUAAAUACGUG
rnacentral:rRNA from 1 species